UUUAAGAAAUCCUUAGCAGCCAUUAUCAUCACACGUGUAUAUCUAUGUGUGGGUUUUAAGGGGUAAAAUUAGAUAAGAAUAGAGUGAGUGUGUGCGUAUCAAUGGAGAUGAACCGACUAAAAAGGAAAACUAAGAAAUCGCAAAUCAGUAAUUUACAUUCAAAAGAAAUAGAUGAUUACAACCUUUGAAAUCACCAAGCUGACUUUACAAGGUGAUAGAAGCAAGGAUGGAACUUUUAAGGGAUCAAAGGGGGUUCCAGCCUCUCCAAAUUUUUAUUUUUAAUACCAAUUUUCUUAUAUAUUUUUCAAAAAUAAUUUUCAUUUUACGUAUUAGCCUCUCUAACAAAGCUAAAUUUUAUGUCUCAUUGAAUUCCGCUCCUCCAUAGCAAUUGUUCAAGUUCCGCCAUUGGAUAGAAGGAUGUGCAAGAUUUCCCAUUGUUGCAUACGGGCUUCUUAUGAGGUAUAUAAAGUGACUCUAAUAUGGGACAUGGAAAGAAUAUCUCGUAUAGAUGACGGUGUAGCUCGAUGGAAGGGUAAUGGACACUCAUGAACUCUUCUUUGAUAUCCAUGUUCGCCCUUUUUGCACAAGUUAUAAAGUUUUAAAAUAAAUAUUACGUGUAUUUUCAUUUUUGAAACAGUUAUGUAAAGCUGGUUGAAUCUACUUUGUUAGUUGUCAAGUUUAAAUUACAUUAUGUCGCAAGUAAUGUGACAUGAUUAUUAUAGUUUGAACUUUA